UGAGGCUUCUCGAAGGGAGGGGAAUGCCCCUCUUAGAACUCUAGAUCAAGCUGGACUUUUUCUGUGGAGCAGGAGACUUAUGAUUCCAGAUCCCUGGACAAAGCUUCCAGGGCAUGGUCAUGUCUGACUCACAGGAACCCGGUGAAGGGCAGGGCUGCUAUCUGCGGUCCUCCUGCCUCAUAGCUGAGCCUGGGUGUUCAGAGGCUGGCUGGUGAACGAGUCACCUCAGCCAGCCUGUAGUGCGGCUAGCACCAGCAGCAACCUAAGAGCAGCCGAGCUUUGAUUUUUUUUCCCCAGAGCAAAAUUCAUGCUUUCCUGUCCUAAAGGUAGAAGUUUGUUCUACUUCUUCGAACUUGGGAGAUUCGAGUAAACUUCAGCCUUGCCAGAAACAUCCUUCCUCUGGAAAACUCCAGUAGGCCCUCCCUGCUCACCUUCCUCCAUCUACCUCUCUGCUGCAAGAAGUGUAUGUUUGGCUCCUGCACAAGAAAAUGCACUGGCGUUUUUUUACCAGGGAGUGUCUAGUAAUUUCUAAGUGAGUUUCUGAAACCUCCAAGCUAGACUUUUUUUUUUCCUUAAGCAAAUAAAGCCUGAGAGGUGAAGCAUCUUCAAAGAGUUGUGUGCACUCAGCAACUUUGGUGUGUUAGUUUGUCUUUCAAUCUGCCUUACUCAGGGUACUUAUCUCUUAGAAAGGGAGAUUAUUACCCCCAGACUGGGUUGGAAACCGCUUCGCUGACAGGUUUAAGAGUCUUAACAAUUUAUUUACAGCAGAAAAGGCAAAACUGUGCAAAAUGGCAGACUUCAUUCUCCCUGCAAGGGUCAGCUGGGUGGGGAGGGAAGUGGAAUCAAAAUGGGGAACCUCUCAACUGUGCUCAGAAAGGUUGGGCUUCCUGUGGGAGGGAGGUUGGGGUAGGGGUGAACAUUGGCAUUUCCUCCUGAGCAACCAGUUAUCUCCUUGAAUAGAGACAACUGCUAAACUGACAAGCCCUUCACCGGUAACCGUUGAUCUGGCUUAUGACUCAAGACUUAAAAGAACCCUAGAGUUGUCGCAAUUACUCUUCCUGUUUCUCACACCCAGAAAGCUAGACCAAUAAUAGAAUCACGCCGUUGAGUUUCUCCUGACCUUGCUUUUGGUACCCAGUUGAAGAGUCUUUUCCUUGGACGUGGCAGAAUCUGAACUAUGACUAAUACAUACAGAUUUGCAAGAAGAGGACAAGAGAGUGUGUUUAUGUUUCUCUCUCCCUAGCAGCUCCUCCUAGUCUAAUAUAGGGAAGAUACUAGGAGCUCCAUAAAUGUUUGUCAUAUGAUUGAAUGAAUAAAUGGACAAAUACAUUUUCUGUCUCGUUUUAACAGUACUCUGGAGUAUUGGGAGGUGAAAAUACUUCCACAUAUAAAUUUAUUCCUCCUGUUUCUAAUACUGGUAGCAAUAUUUCAAGCUAAUUUAUAACAAAGGAGCAAGUUAGAAU
rnacentral:lncRNA from 1 species